UACGUAGGGUGCAAGCGUGUCCGGAAUUAUUGGGCGUAAAGAGCUCGUAGGCGGUCUGUCGCGUCGGCUGUGAAAACCCGAGGCUCAACCUCGGGCCUGCAGUCGAUACGGGCAAACUAGAGUACUGCAGGGGAGACUGGAAUUCCUGGUGUAGCGGUGAAAUGCGCAGAUAUCAGGAGGAACACCGGUGGCGAAGGCGGGGUCUCUGGGCAGUAACUGACGCUGGAGGAGCGAAAGCGUGGGGAGCGAACAGG
rnacentral:rRNA from 1 species